UUCCGGUUGAUCCUGCCGGACCUGACUGCUAUUGGAGUAGGACUAAGUCACGCUAGUCAAAGGUGCAGAAUGGAGCACCUGGCGUACGGCUCAGUAACACGUAGUCAACCUACCCUAAGGACGAUGACAACCACGGGAAACUGUGGAUAAUCUUCGAUAGGAAAUUUGGCCUGGAACGGUAUCUUUCCUAAAACCGGCUCGCCGUGAGACACGGGCCUUAGGAUGGGGCUGCGGCCGAUUAUGCUUGAUGGCGGUGUAAAGGACCACCAUGGCGACGAUCGGUAUGGGCAAUGGAAGUUGGAGCCCAGAGUCGCUAACUGAGACAAGGUAGCGAGCCUUACGAGGCUUAGCGGUCGCGAAAACUCGCCAAUGCACGAAAGUGUGAGUGGGCUACUCCAAGUGUCAUUCUUACGGAUGACUGUCGCUCAGUAUUACAAGCUGAGAAAGGAAGGAGAGGGCAAGGCUGGUGCCAGCCGCCGCGGUAAAACCAGCUCUUCGAGUGGUCAGGACGAAUAUUGGGUCUAAAGCGCUCGUAGCCGGACAUGUAGGUUCCUGGUUAAAUCCGACAGCAUAACUGUCGACCUGCUGGGAAUACCGCAAGUCUUGGGAGCGGGAGAGGAUAGAGGUAGUCAUAGGGCAGGGGUGAAAUCCAGUGAUCCUAUGGCGACCACCGAUGGCGAAGGCAUCUAUCUGGAACGUCUCCGACGGUGUGGGGCGAAAGCUAGGGGAGCGACCCGGAUUAGAUACCCGGUUAGUCCUAGCCGUAAACGAUGCCGACUAGGUGUUGCGACGGCCAAGAGCCGUUGCGGUGCCACAGCGAAGGCGUUAAGUCGGCCACCUGGGGAGUACGGUCGCAAGACUGAAACUUAAAGGAAUUGACGGGGGCGCACCACCAGGAGUGAAGCCUGCGGUUUAAUUGGAUUCAACGCCGGGAAAUCACUAGUGCGGCC
rnacentral:rRNA from 1 species